UAAAAAUGGUUUUUUUGAAUAAAUGGGUUUGGUAUCCCUAUGUGCAAAAUGGUUUUUUGAAAAAAUGGGUUAAGAGAUGUUCUCUUCACUCACCUUCCUUAUAACUCAAUAGUUUUCCUCCACUUCUGACUCGAGAAGAGG